AGCCCUGCCUGCCUGAAGCCUUCCCAAGAGCUACCAAGAGAGAUUCGCUGCUGCCCAGCACCUAACAGGAUCAGGCUGUUAUGGAUAAGCAACAACACUGAAGAAAGCCAAAGUUACAUCACAGCAGUGAGAAGGGGUAACUGCUCACAGCAUCGCGUGGGGCUGGAAGUAAGAUGGCAUUAAGAGCAGGACUCAACACUGAUUCAGCAGGGAGAUUUCUUCAUUGAGUACAGAGCUGGCAUUUGCUACCUGGGAUUAAUGCAGUGAGAUUGCUCAGUGUCUACAGAUGGGAGAGUCACUGUGAGCCCUGCCUGUGGGUUCAGCUGGAUGAGCUCUGCACCUGCUCCAAAACUUUCCCUUUGCACUCUGCUGCAGAAGAAAUUUUCUCUGGUAUCCAAUCUACCUCUUGGAUUAGGUCAGAAACAGGCACUGGCACACAUGUCCACGGAGCAUUUGCUGUGACAACAGUUUCAGAAGCACUUGGGAGGUCUCUACAGAAAGCAUUUCUCCCAUGGCCUGUGGUGUUGCUCCCCUGGGGAGUGUUAAAUAGCGUACACAGUGCUUGGGGUGAAGGAAGGGCACUUCUCUGGAAGAUGUUUUUGCUCAUUUGCUUUUUGAUCCAUCAUCAAGUGGGAAGAUUUGUUAAUUAUUCAGUCUCCGUAAUUUGAAUCUGUUAAUAAUGGAAGAAGUGGAUAUUGCUGUAAAUUAAAAUCAAUGGUUUGCUUAACUUCUUUGAUCAAAUUUGAGCGCAAGCACGCUUCUGUUUAAUAAAGCAGAGAUUGAUGGGUUUGCUAUUACAGGGAAAUGAGAUUCAGACAAAAUGAUUGUUGGUUAGUAGGAAUGCAGAAAUCGCUUAAGAAAAGGAAUAUAGAAUCACUUAGCAAUACUAACAUGGAAUGAAUGCUUAAAACCCCCG